rnacentral:rRNA from 1 species
UACGUAGGGUGCGAGCGUUAAUCGGAAUUACUGGGCGUAAAGCGUGCGUAGGCGGUUCGUUAAGUCUGUUGUGAAAGCCCCGGGCUCAACCUGGGAAUGGCAAUGGAUACUGGCGAGCUAGAGUGUGUCAGAGGAUGGUGGAAUUCCCGGUGUAGCGGUGAAAUGCGUAGAGAUCGGGGAGGAACAUCAGUGGCGAAGGCGGCCAUCUGGGACAACACUGACGCUGAGGCACGAAAGCGUGGGGAGCAAACAGG